UACAGAGGGUGCGAGCGUUGUCCGGAAUCACUGGGCGUAAAGGGCGCGUAGGCGGUUUUUCAAGCGUGCGGUGAAAGCUCAGGGCUCAACCCUGAGUCGGCCGUGCGAACUGGAAGACUGGAGCACGGUAGAGGCACAUGGAAUUCCGGGUGUAGCGGUGGAAUGCGUAGAGAUCCGGAAGAACACCGGUGGCGAAGGCGGUGUGCUGGGCCGUUGCUGACGCUGAGGCGCGACAGCGUGGGGAGCAAACAGG
rnacentral:rRNA from 2 species